GACGAGGGAGAUGAUGUAUUUUACUGUGAAUAUGAGUAUGAUGUACAUUGGCAUAGUUUCAAGCGGAUUUCAGAAAUU